rnacentral:tRNA from 1 species
CAGGGAGACAACAAAAUGUUAAAUAUUAAUUUUGUCACCUUAGGUCGAUCGGUACCUCACAUUCUUAACUUAUUAAGAAUUUUAUUUCCUAAGUUUUUUCUAGGUCACACCCAUUAUUUUCCCUGGGCCAUUAGCUCAGGUGGUUAGAGCGCACCCCUGAUAAGGGUGAGGUCCCUGGUUCAAGUCCAGGAUGGCCCAUAUCUCUAUGUUGGGGGUAUAGCUCAGUUGGUAGAGCGCCUGCUUUGCAAGCAGGAUGUCAGCGGUUCGAGUCCGCUUACCUCCACUGAUUACCACCUCUUCCAUAAGUUAUAGAAGGGAAAUUUUGAGUUGUGAUCUAAUUCUGAACGAAUCUAGCUUCCUAAUUAAACUUAAUUAAGAUGCUGGACUCAUUGAAUUAAUUUCAUUGUUUUCAGAGAACCUUGACAACUGCAUAGAUUUUUUUAAAGACAAUAAGCAUCUUUAAUGAUGCAGAUUUAUUAUUUGUGCGAAUGCAUUAAUAACAAUUCUAUUAAGCUGAUGCUUCAUUUUUGAAGUUAUU